AGUUUUGUGCAGUGGCAGCAUCAUAGCCAGUGAGGUUUAUCUGAGGAGUGAUUAUUGCUAAUUGAAAACUUUUCCCAAUACCCCACCAUGCAUCGUAAUGAAGUCAUAUAACAAGUACAAUAUAUUUUUGUUAAGUAUAGUCAACCUAAUGUGC
ensembl:snRNA U4 U4 spliceosomal RNA